rnacentral:rRNA from 1 species
GACAGAGGGUGCAAACGUUGUUCGGAAUUACUGGGCGUAAAGCGUGUGUAGGCGGUCCACUAAGUCGGGUGUGAAAGCCCUGGGCUCAACCCAGGAAGUGCACUCGAAACUGGCGGGCUAGAGUAUCGGAGAGGUUGGUGGAAUUCUCGGUGUAGAGGUGAAAUGCGCAGAUAUCGGGAAGAACACCCGUGGCGAAGGCGGCUCUCUGGGACGGUACUGACGCUGAGACGCGAAAGCGUGGGGAGCGAACAGG